UACGAAGGGAGCGAGCGUUGUUCGGAAUCACUGGGCGUAAAGCGUGCGUAGGCGGUUUUGUAAGUCAGAAGUGAAAGCCUGGGGCUCAACCUCAGAAUUGCUUUUGAGACUGCAAAGCUAGAGUACCGGAGAGGUUAAUGGAAUUCCGAGUGUAGAGGUGAAAUUCGCAGAUAUUCGGAGGAACACCAGUGGCGAAGGCGAUUAACUGGACGGUAACUGACGCUGAGGCACGAAAGCGUGGGGAUCAAACAGG
rnacentral:rRNA from 1 species